rnacentral:rRNA from 1 species
UGUCUGUUAUAAAAAUUUUAACAGUCUAACCUGCCCACUGAAAUUUUGAAGGGCCGCGGUAUUUGGACCGUGCUAAGGUAGCAUAAUCAAUAGUCUUUUAAUUGGAGUCUGGAAUGAAUGGUUGGAUGAAAUAUAAGUUGUCUUGGAUUGUAGUGGUUGAAUUUUACUUUUGAGUGAAAAGGCUUAGAUGAAUUGGGGGGACGAUAAGACCCUGUGAAGCUUUAUAUUAUUGAGGUGUUUACUAUUAAUAUUUUGGUAAUUAAGUUUAUGUUUUAAUAAUAUUGUGUUGGGGCGAUAAGAAUAAAGUGUGUAACUGUUUUUGUUAUAAAGAUAAUGAUAUUUAGAGUGUUGAUCCUUAAUUUAAGAUUAAGAGAUUAAGUUACUCCAGGGAUAACAGCGUAAUUCUUUUUGAGAGUUCUUAUCGACGAAAGUAUUUGCGACCUCGAUGUUGAAUUAAAAUUUCGCCAAGGUGUAGGAGUUUUGGUUGUGGGUCUGUUCGACCCUUAAGAUUUUACAUGAUUUGAGUUCAGACCGGCGU